UACAGAGGUCCCAAGCGUUGUUCGGAUUCACUGGGCGUAAAGGGUGCGCAGGUGGGUUUGCAAGUUCGAUGUGAAAGCCCCGGGCUUAACCCGGGAAUGGCAUUGGAUACUGCAGAUCUGGAGGAUCGGAGGGGGGACUGGAAUUCUUGGUGUAGCAGUGAAAUGCGUAGAUAUCAAGAGGAACACCAGUGGCGAAGGCGGCAUCCUGGACCGAGAUUGACACUGAUGAGCGAAAGCUAGGGGAGCAAACGGG
rnacentral:rRNA from 1 species